CUACGGGUCGCUCCAGCAAGGAAUAUUGUACAAUGGGGGAAACCCUGAUACAGCAACGCCGCGUGAAGGAAGAAGGCCUUCGGGUUGUAAACUUCUGUUUUAGAGGAAGAACAAAUGACGGUACUCUUAGAGGAAGCCCCGGCAAACUACGUGCCAGCAGCCGCGGUAACACGUAGGGGGCAAGCGUUGUCCGGAAUCACUGGGCGUAAAGGGCGCGUAGGCGGUUUAUUAAGUUGCAUGUGAAAUCCCAGAGCUUAACUUUGGACCUGCAUGCAAAACUGGUAGACUUGAGUAUGGCAGAGGUAAGUGGAAUUCCUAGUGUAGCGGUGGAAUGCGUAGAUAUUAGGAGGAACACCAGUGGCGAAGGCGACUUACUGGGCCAAAACUGACGCUGAGGCGCGAAAGCGUGGGGAGCAAACAGGAUUAGAUACCCGCGUAGUC
rnacentral:rRNA from 1 species